rnacentral:snoRNA from 1 species
UGGGUGUGUUCAGAGCAGGGGCCUGAAGAAAGGCUUCUCUGCUCAGAACACACCUAACAAGAACCUCAGGCCACUGUGACCAGGGGCACAAAGCUUGUGGUCUCCUAUAAACAAGUGCCCGAUGUGU